GUGUCCGGAAUACUGGGCGUAAAGAGUCGUAGGCGGUUGUCGCGUCGUUUGUGAAAACCCGGGGCUCAACUUCGGGCUUGCAGGCGAUACGGGCAGACUUGAGUGUUCAGGGGAGACUGGAAUUCCUGGUGUAGCGGUGAAAUGCGCAGAUAUCAGGAGGAACACCGGUGGCGAAGGCGGGUCUCUGGGAAACAACUGACGCUGAGGAACGAAAGCGUGGGUAGCAAACAGGAUUAGAUACCCUGGUAGUCCACGCCGUAAACGGUGGGCGCUAGGUGUGGGUUCCUUCCACGGGAUCUGUGCCGUAGCUAACGCAUUAAGCGCCCCGCCUGGGGAGUACGGCCGCAAGGCUAAAACUCAAAGGAAUUGACGGGGGCCCGCACAAGCGGCGGAGCAUGUGGAUUAAUUCGAUGCAACGCGAAGAACCUUACCUGGGUUUGACAUACACCGGAAAACCGUAGAGAUACGGUCCCCCUUGUGGUCGGUGUACAGGUGGUGCAUGGCUGUC
rnacentral:rRNA from 1 species